rnacentral:ncRNA from 21 species
UUAUACUGAUCAGGUAAUGGUUCCCUGAUCGGGGAUAAAAAGGGAAUUCGGUGAUGUUUUUUGACGAUGCCGAAGCUGCCCCCGCAACUGUGUGCGGUAGUGACCAUCUGUUAGCCACUGGGAAACCGGGAAGGAAGAUGUUUCGCGAGAAUCCGCAAGCCAGGAGACCUGCCAUUACAUCAAUUUCCCCA